rnacentral:lncRNA from 1 species
UUCCGUUAUUCAUAUAGGGGUCACCCAUUUCAUGACAUAUAGAGAAUCCGGAAUUACAGUGUGAGUAUGAAAAUGCAUUAAGAGUUAGUACUCUCACGAACCAAUCCUUGAAGAUGAAGAUGAAGAUGAAGACCAUGCCUUGUUCUACUCUCCUCUCUUCCUCCCCAUUGCUUUACUGGUAUUCUCAUAUGGACAUCUAAUCAUCAUCAACCAUUUCUUUCCAGGAACUUUCCUUGCGCUUUUGCUUACUACCAAUGCUCUUUCUGUCGAAUGUUAUCAUUCUGUGUUAAAAAAAAAAAAAAAAAUUACAGUGGUGAGGGUAGGGGAGGCACAAAAAUGUGGGCACCCCUUCAUUUGUCUCCCGGACUGCUCGAAGCUGACAUGUGUGGAAGCCUACGUCGAGAAGUAUAGGGGAUGGACUAAUGGCGGAUGCUUCGACACAAACAGCUGUUGCUGCCAUGUUAUAGGGGCUCCAUCUUGAUUUAUGUUACCAUUGCCCCAUGUGUCACGCCCCGAUCCUCGGGCACGCACACAUUCUUCUUACUUGGUCGAUUUUAUAAUGCGAUAUCCCAUGACAAUGUAUUGCCGACCCUUUCAUUUAUUAAGCACAUGCGGAAGCAGUUAAAAUCCCCAGACAAUAAAACGAUGGGAUAGAAAAGCAGGGCCAUAUUUUUCAUAUUGAAACUUAUAACCAAACUUUUAUACAAAACACAAACCAGAGCACUUCACGACUUUUUACUCUAUCUCUAUUCACAUCAAAAUGGAGAUCUUAAAAGAAGAUAGGAUCUCAAUCCAUCCAGGCCGUACUCAAGACCCCUCUCGGGACUAUCUUCUUCUUCCAAACUUCUUCUCCUCAGGUUUUACCUCCGAGUUCUCCUUCCCAGACUCCUCCUCCUCAACUCCUCAUCGGGAUCCUGAAAUGUUUUCCCCAAACUGGGAUGAGACUACGUCUCAGUGAGUUCUACCCCACUAAGCCCGAUUAGUAAACCAUUAUAUUAUAGGCUGCCUAAACACGCACAUGUCAGAAGACAUACCUUGGCAUCAGAUUCCACCUGCAUAUUAGUACAUAUCAAAUAGGCACCCAAGUAAUCACAUCACAGAUCGAAGCAUUGAUCGAAUCGACCUAGUCGAUUACAUGCCAACAAGACCACUCACGGUCAUUCCCAUCCAAUUAAUCAAUUCACAACAUCAGAUCAAAACAAUGAUCAAUGGACCUAGUCGAUUACAUGUCAGCUUGACCAUUUCCCGAUCAUUCAAGCUAUUGCUAUUCAGUCUUAAUUAAUAAAACCAAUCACCGAGCUACGUGCAUUCUUCGAUGCGAUAUUAUUUAUCACCGAGCCACGUGCUUUCACUGAGGUGAUGGAACCGAUCAUCGAGCCAUGUGCAUUCUCCGAGGUAAUGCAUUACUUUACCGAGCCCACGUGCCCUUUAAUGCCAUUUUGAAUCAGCGAGCCCACAUGCAUUCUCCGAGGCGAUGCAUCAAGUCACCGAGCCCACGUGUCUCUUCAAGAUGCCAAAUGUACUCAUUGAGACCACGUGCAUUCUCCGAGGUAAUGCAUCAAAUUACCGAGCCCACGUGUCUCUUUUAGAUGCCAAAUGUACUCAUUGAGACCACGUGCAUUUUCCGAGGUAAUGCAUCAAAUUACCGAGCCCACGUGUCUCUUUUAGGAUGCCACACUUAAUCACCGAGCCACAUGCAUUCUCCAAGGCGACAUACUUCGUCACCGAGCCAUGUGCAUUCUCCGAGGUGAUAUAUCUAAUCAUCAAGCCCCGUGCAUUCUCCAAGGCGACGUACUAAUCAUCGAGCCACGUGCAUUCUCCGAAGUGAUAUACCAAAUCACCGAGCCACGUGCAUUCUCCGAGAUGACGUACUAUUCACCGAGCCACGUGCAUUCUCCAAGAUGACGUACUAUUCACCGAGCCACGUGCCUUUCGUGAUGAUUCAUCCCAUUUCUAAAGUAAUUAUCCACAAUUAAAUCAAUUCAGCACAAAUUAAAGCUCAAUUAAAUAAACGGACUGCGCCACGAUGAUCAGCACGAGAUUUCGGUCGUCGGCCAUCUCAAACUUAAUUUCCAAAAAAAAAAAAUUAAUUAAUUAAUUUCGAAAAUUAAUUAUUAAAUAUUAAAAAUUCUGUUUAGCUCAAAAUAAGGCCCAAUUAAAUAAACGGACUUCGCCACAGUCAUCAGCAUAAUUUUCCGGUCACGGUCCAUCUCAAUUGAAUUUCCGGAAAAUAAAUAAUUAAUUAAUAAAUUUCGAGAAUUAAUAAUUAAUUAUAAUAAAUCCAAUUUAGCUCAAAUUGGUGCUCAGUUAAAUAAACAGACUUCACCACAGUCAUCAGCAUAAAAUUCCGGUUCCAGACCAUCUCAGUUAAAUUUUUGAAAAAUAAAUAAUUAUUUAAUUUAAUUCCGAAAAUUAAUAUUUAAAUACUAAAAAUUCCACUUAGGCCCGAAAAGCCUAAUUGGAGCCCACUAAGGGUCGGGAAAAAUCCCGAGGUACUUCCAAUAAUUAGUAUACCACGUCUACUUGAUAAUUGCGCAAUCAAUUUAUCUAAAUCGCAUCACAAUUGACUAAUAAUUGCUAAUUUAUUAUAAUCUAACAACCUAAAUAUAAUUAAUUAAAUCUAAACCAACCUUAAGCAUAAUUAGCCAACUAAUUAGUGAGAUUAAUCACCAAAUCGCGCGCAAAUCAGAUCAAUCCGACGAGGGCGACACGAGGAACGAUUCUUCCCAAAGCACGGCUCGGGUUCGGAAACGGCCCAAAAGCGGGCCCGAACCAGCUAGAAACCCAUUUCGUGGGUUGCUGGACGGGGCUGGCCGGGGCUGCUCCGGUGGCCAAAACGGCGAGGGGAGGCCGGCGGAAGACGAGGGGGACGCCGGGGGGUGGCGCGGUGGCCGGAGGCGGCUGGUCGAGGCGAAACCGAGCUGAACAGAGGCCGAACGGCCUGUCUCGCACGGGGAAGGGGCGCCUGGGCGGAGGAGAGGGCAGGCGGUGCACGGCGGCGAGCGGCGGACGCGGGGCGGCGGUGCGGGCGGCGACGGCUCCGGCAAGCUGCAACCGUGCGGCUUCUUCUUCCUCGUCUCUGGUUUUCACGGGCGAGAAACGAGGGGAAGGGGGGCUUUCGGUCACGUGGGGGGAAAAGUGGGAGAGAAGAGAGGAGAGAGAAGAAGAGAUAAGAGAGAGAAGAGAUAGGGUUGAAUGGUCAAAGGGAGAGGGAGAAGCCAAAUUGAAAUUGGCCAAGGGGUGUUCGGUGGGGGAGGG